rnacentral:rRNA from 1 species
AGAGUUUGAUCAUGGCUCAGAACGAACGCUGGCGGCAGGCCUAACACAUGCAAGUCGAACGAAGGCCCAACUUCGGUUGGUGUCCUUAGUGGCGCACGGGUGCGUAACGCGUGGGAAUCUACCCUUAGGUGCGGAAUAACAGUUAGAAAUGACUGCUAAUACCGCAUAAUGACUCCGGUCCAAAGAUUUAUCGCCUAAGGAUGAGCCCGCGUAAGAUUAGCUAGUUGGUGAGGUAAAAGCUCACCAAGGCGACGAUCUUUAGCUGGUCUGAGAGGAUGAUCAGCCACACUGGGACUGAGACACGGCCCAGACUCCUACGGGAGGCAGCAGUGGGGAAUAUUGGACAAUGGGCGCAAGCCUGAUCCAGCCAUGCCGCGUGAGUGAUGAAGGCCUUAGGGUUGUAAAGCUCUUUUACCCGGGAAGAUAAUGACUGUACCGGGAGAAUAAGCUCCGGCUAACUCCGUGCCAGCAGCCGCGGUAAUACGGAGGGAGCUAGCGUUGUUCGGAAUUACUGGGCGUAAAGCGCGCGUAGGCGGCUAUUCAAGUCAGAGGUGAAAGCCCGGGGCUCAACUCCGGAACUGCCUUUGAAACUAGAUAGCUAGAAUCCAGGAGAGGUGAGUGGAAUUCCGAGUGUAGAGGUGAAAUUCGUAGAUAUUCGGAAGAACACCAGGCGAAGGCGACUCACUGGACUGGUAUUGACGCUGAGGUGCGAAAGCGUGGGACAAACAGGAUUAGAUACCCUAGUAGUCC